GGAUUGUGGCUGAGCGGUAGAGCAUUCAGCUAGCAAGUGCAAGGCCCUGGGUUCGAUGCUCAGCACCA
rnacentral:tRNA from 1 species